GGAGCAUGUGGUUUAAUUCGAUGCAAAGCGAAGAACCUUACCAGGGCUUGACAUGCCAUGAAUCCUCUAGAAAGAGAGGGGUGCCCUUGAGAACGCGGACACAGGUGGUGCUUUGCCUGAUCAUCCUCUUAAGAAACCUGAAAUACUUGAUAUCUUCUAUAAUGGACUAACCGAUGCUUC
rnacentral:ncRNA from 1 species